UGACGGAGCACGCCGCGUGAGUGAAGAAGGUUUUCGGAUCGUAAAGCUCUGUUGUCAGGGAAGAACAAGUACGGAAGUAACUGUCCGUACCUUGACGGUACCUGACCAGAAAGCCACGGCUAACUACGUGCCAGCAGCCGCGGUAAUACGUAGGUGGCAAGCGUUGUCCGGAAUUAUUGGGCGUAAAGCGCGCGCAGGCGGCUUCUUAAGUCUGAUGUGAAAGCCCACGGCUCAACCGUGGAGGGUCAUUGGAAACUGGGAGGCUUGAGUGCAGAAGAGGAGAGCGGAAUUCCACGUGUAGCGGUGAAAUGCGUAGAGAUGUGGAGGAACACCAGUGGCGAAGGCGGCUCUCUGGUCUGUAACUGACGCUGAGGCGCGAAAGCGUGGGGAGCGAACAGGAUUAGAUACCCUGGUAGUCCACGCCGUAAACGAUGAGUGCUAAGUGUUGGAGGGUUUCCGCCCUUCAGUGCUGCAGCUAACGCAUUAAGCACUCCGCCUGGGGAGUACGGCCGCAAGGCUGAAACUCAAAGGAAUUGACGGGGGCCCGCACAAGCGGUGGAGCAUGUGGUUUAAUUCGAAGCAACGCGAAGAACCUUACCAGGUCUUGACAUCCCGCUGACCGGUCUGGAGACAGGCCUUUCCCUUCGGGGACAGCGGUGACAGGUGGUGCAUGGUUGUCGUCAGCUCGUGUCGUGAGAUGUUGGGUUAAGUCCCGCAACGAGCGCAACCCUUGAUCUUAGUUGCCAGCAUUCAGUUGGGCACUCUAAGGUGACUGCCGGUGACAAACCGGAGGAAGGUGGGGAUGACGUCAAAUCAUCAUGCCCCUUAUGACCUGGGCUACACACGUGCUACAAUGGAUGGUACAAA
rnacentral:rRNA from 1 species